GGCACCUUCUUAUCACACAACACCCUCGAAGCGAGCUUCCACUUCAUCCAUCCCGCCCCAAUACGGUGUGAGACAUCCUCGUCAAUCUCACCGUUACCCUGAAUCACGGACCCGAGAUACUUGAAACUAUCCCUCUUACAUACCACCUAUGAUUCCAACUUCACUACCACCUCAUUCUGCAGCCUCACGUCAUUAAACUUGCAUUCCAAAUACUCUGUCUUGCUCCUACUCAACCUGAACCCUUUAGACUCAAGAGUUUGUCUCCACACCUCUAAUUUAUCAUUCACACACACACACACACACCCGCGUCUCAUCAAUCAAAACUACAUUAUCUGCGAAA
rnacentral:lncRNA from 1 species